rnacentral:rRNA from 1 species
GGGAUGGUCCCGCCCAUCAGCUAGUUGUAGGGUAACGCCUACCAAGGCGAAGACGGUAGCUGGUCUGAGAGGAUGAUCAGCCACGCUGGAACUGAGACACGGUCCAGACUCCUACGGGAGGCAGCAGUGGGGAAUCUUGCGCAAUGGACGAAAGUCUGACGCAGCGACGCCGCGUGAGUGAUGAAGGCCUUCGGGUUGUAAAGCUCUGUGGAGAGGGACGAAUAAGUGUCGUCGAAUAGACGGCAUGAUGACGGUACCUUUUUAGCAAGCACCGGCUAACUCUGUGCCAGCAGCCGCGGUAAUACAGAGGGUGCAAACGUUGUUCGGAUUUACUGGGCGUAAAGCGCGUGUAGGCUGCUUGGAAAGUCGGAUGUGAAAGCCCUGGGCUCAACCUAGGAAGUGCAUUCGAAACUUCCAAGCUCGAGUUUCGGAGAGGAAGGCGGAAUUCUCGGUGUAGAGGUGAAAUUCGUAGAUAUCGAGAGGAACACCGGUGGCGAAGGCGGCCUUCUGGACGAUAACUGACGCUGAGACGCGAAAGCGUGGGGAGCAAACAGGAUUAGAUACCCUGGUAGUCCACGCCGUAAACGAUGGGUGCUAGGUGUCGCGGGCUUUGACCCCUGCGGUGCCGUAGCUAACGCAUUAAGCA